GACGAACGCUGGCGGCGUGCUUAACACAUGCAAGUCGAACGGAAAUGCCCUGCUUUUGUGGGGUGCUCGAGUGGCGAACGGGUGAGUAACACGUGAGUAACCUGCCCUUGACUUUGGGAUAACUUCAGGAAACUGGGGCUAAUACCGGAUAGGAGCUCCUGCUGCAUGGUGGGGGUUGGAAAGUUUCGGCGGUUGGGGAUGGACUCGCGGCUUAUCAGCUUGUUGGUGGGGUAGUGGCUUACCAAGGCUUUGACGGGUAGCCGGCCUGAGAGGGUGACCGGCCACAUUGGGACUGAGAUACGGCCCAGACUCCUACGGGAGGCAGCAGUGGGGAAUAUUGAACAAUGGGCGGAAGCCUGAUGCAGCAACGCCGCGUGCGGGAUGACGGCCUUCGGGUUGUAAACCGCUUUCGCCUGUGACGAAGCGUGAGUGAAGGUAAUGGGUAAAGAAGCACCGGCUAACUACGUG
rnacentral:rRNA from 1 species